rnacentral:lncRNA from 1 species
UCCUUGCUCACCUACCCCAUCUUCCCGAAUGAAGAACUAUCUGCCAUUGCCAAAAAGUUUGGCCAUACUGAGGAGGAGCUGCAGGUUGCAAACACGCUGCCGAACUCUACCAUUGCUGCCUACACGACGUUGCUUGUUCCACAGGGGACCUCAACUCCCGGUGGUAAUGCUGGGGGACCUGGCUCAGCUCCAGCUCCAUCUGCAGCUUCAAGAGCUUCCCAAGCCCACUGGCUGUACUCAGUCUCCUUGCUGGGAGUGCAAUCUUUGUUGCUGUUGUUGUUGUUCUACCAUGCUAAGUAAGAGAGAGUGCAGAGGUGAGAUUGUGUG